AUGUUCCUCCUUUCAGGGGCGGGCUCAAGAAAGCAGAAAAAUGUUCAGCCAGGUUUCCAGCAAUUCAAGGCUUAUUCAGAUGGUGCUCAAAAUUGUGGUCCAUCUGAAAGGAAGGAGAUGGACAGAGAUAGUGGCGUAGGCAUGACAAUAGCUGCAGUAGCUACACUGUUACAGUCACUGAAGGAUUUCAGCCACACGUACCAGGCCAUGUCCCCUCUUGCCUGGGGCCUGGCUACGCCACUAGACAGAGACAAGCAACAAAAUAAUCCAGCUAAGGAAGAUCGUGAUUGCCUUAUUGCCUUAUUAUUGCUUCAGUAUGAGAAAGUCCACCCUUUUAUGGUUGAUAACAAUAUGCAGUUUGAAAUCACAGAGAUAACAGAAAAGGGUGGACUUUCUCAUACUGAAGCAGUCUACAAGCUAGUUUGUUUCAUGCAACUUGAUCAAACUGAACGGAAAAUGGACCUUGCCGAGCAAGCAAGGGUCGCCGAUAUUAUCACAGCUACAGAAAAUCCUACCUGCCUUAGCAGGUUUUUGCAACUAAGGGGCCAUUAUAUCUUGAACGAUUGGCUUCAAGAGACUCAGAAAGGGGAGUCUGCUGAAGGGGGUAGUCCUAAAGAAUCUGACAAACCUAUUAAAGAACUUGUCCUGGCCCUGAUUCGUGCACUAGCGAAAUUGCCUGUCAGUCUGACUGCCUUAAGAAGCUGCAGUAUUGGGAUAUCUAUCAAUCAUCUGUGCAGCCAUAAAGAUCUGGAGAUACAGAGGAAGGCUAAAUGUCUUCUUGAUUGCUGGAAGGAGCGUGUUGACCAUGAAACGAAGUGGACUGAUGUAAGCAACUUGAAGGACAAACCUCACGUCAAUAACCAGCAAAUGCUCCGCCGCAAAAGAAAAGAAAAACAGCGACAAACGAAGGUUGAGUUCGAGGGGGAAAAGAGGCCAAAGGUGUUUACCUUGGAGGAGGUUGCCAAGCACAACUUCAAGCACGACUGUUGGGUCCUCAUCGCCGGCAAGGUGUACGAUGUGACAAAGUUUCUCGUGGAUCACCCUGGAGGUGCCCAUGUCUUGCUGUCUUCAACUGCCAAGGAUGCAACCAACGACUUCGAAGACGCGGGACACAACUCCACAGCUCGGGCAAUGAUGGAUGAGUACUGCAUCGGUCAGAUUGACACAACCACAAUACCCCCCAAGCAAUCAAACUACGAGGCUUACAACACUGGAGAACACGAUGCUGGACAAUCCAGCCUAUCUUCAAAGAGCAUCAGCACCUUAUUGUCUUCUUCAGAAAAGACUGAUCAAGUAACAGAGCUUAAAGCCCUUUAG
rnacentral:rRNA from 1 species